rnacentral:lncRNA from 1 species
AAGACUACAAAUGCGUUUGCAUUGUCUGACUUAGCUUCUAGAAUUCUUGCCCUCUGCCAUGAGAAUCAUGUGUUUCAAAUAGUAACUGCUUCUUUUAUCUUGGGUUGCAGAUUGUGAAGACAGAAGAAGUCAACCUGAAAACAAACCACAGUUUGGAAUCAAGCCAAGGAUCAUCGGAAAGUACAGAAAAUCUGACCAUUCCUAAGAAGAAGAGUUGGAUUUACUCUCCUUAGGAUUUAAGGCCAAGUUCAAUAAAUAUGUUCACAUUGGGUUUAUGAUAAGGAAAAAGAAAGAAGCCUAAUCAAAUUGUCCCACUUGCAGUGCUGAACGAGUGUCCGUGUCCGCCUUUCAUGGUGGCAAGGUAAGAACA